AACGAACGCUGGCGGUAUGCUUAACACAUGCAAGUCGAACGAACAAAAUUGGGGCUUGCUCCAAUUUUAGUGAGUGGCAAACGGGUGAGUAACACGUGGGAAGCUACCUAUCAGUACGGAAUAACAUUUGGAAACAGAUGCUAAUACCGUAUAUUCUCCAAGGAGGAAAGAUUUAUCGCUGAUAGAUGAGCCCGCGCAAGAUUAGGUAGUUGGUAGGGUAAUGGCCUACCAAGCCUACGAUCUUUAGCUGGUCUGAGAGGAUGAUCAGCCACACUGGGACUGAGACACGGCCCAGACUCCUACGGGAGGCAGCAGUGGGGAAUAUUGGACAAUGGGCGAAAGCCUGAUCCAGCAAUACCGCGUGAAUGAUGAAGGCCUUAGGGUUGUAAAGUUCUUUUAGUUGGAAAGAUAAUGACGGUACCAACAGAAAAAGCCCCGGCUAACUCCGUGCCAGCCGCCGCUGUAA
rnacentral:rRNA from 1 species